rnacentral:siRNA from 1 species
UGGUCUCUCUGAGAAGCGGUAU